AUGAUGAUGAUGAUACGGUAUGGAUUGCCAGUGAGGCCCAUUCUACGCCCCUGGACUAUGUUAAGAGGAAGACCAGUGAGGCCCAUUCUACGCCCCUGGCAUAUUGGAAUGUUAUGUUAUGUUAUGUUAUGUAUGCAAGAGAAAGACCAGUGAGGCCCAUUCUACGCCCCUGGCACGAUUGGGCUAUGUUGAGGACUAUAGGUGAC
rnacentral:lncRNA from 1 species